CAUGUCGUUAAAAGGCUUGUGACCUUAUGUAUUUCGCAAUCAUAUCACAGCCAUUUUGACGAGUUUGG
rnacentral:pre_miRNA from 12 species